rnacentral:rRNA from 1 species
GACAGAGGGUGCAAACGUUGCUCGGAAUUACUGGGCGUAAAGCGCGUGUAGGCGGACCAGCAAGUCGGACGUGAAAUCCCUGAGCUCAACUCAGGAACUGCAUCCGAAACUGCUGGUCUGGAGUGGUGGAGAGGGAAGCAGAAUUCCUGGUGUAGAGGUGAAAUUCGUAGAUAUCAGGAGGAACACCGGUGGCGAAGGCGGCUUCCUGGACACUUACUGACGCUGAGGCGCGAAAGCGUGGGGAGCAAACGGG